CCUACGGGUGGCAGCAGUGAGGAAUAUUGGUCAAUGGGCGUAAGCCUGAACCAGCCAAGUCGCGUGAGGGAUGAAGGUUCUAGGGAUCGUAAACCUCUUUUAUAAGGGAAUAAAGUGUGGGACGUGUCCUGUUUUGUAUGUACCUUAUGAAUAAGGAUCGGCUAACUCCGUGCCAGCAGCCGCGGUAAUACGGAGGAUCCGAGCGUUAUCCGGAUUUAUUGGGUUUAAAGGGUGCGUAGGUGGCCUUUUAAGUCAGCGGUGAAAGUCUGUGGCUUAACCCUAGAAUUGCCGUUGAAACUGGGUGGCUUGAGGAGGUGAGAGGCAGGCGGAAGGCGUGGUGUAGCGGUGAAAUGCUUAGAUAUCAGGCAGAACCCCGAUGGCGAAGGCAGUCUGCCAAGCCAUGACUGACGCUGAUGCACGAAAGCGUGGGGAUCAAACAGGAUUAGAUACCCCUGUAGUC
rnacentral:rRNA from 1 species